rnacentral:lncRNA from 1 species
GAAGAAGUGGACAUGGUGGAAUCGGAGGGGCGGGAGGCUGAAGGAGAGGAGGAGCAGGAGGCUGAAGGAGAGAAGGAGCAGGAGGAGGAAGGAGAUAAGAGAGUGGAGGGGUCGGAGAAGACGGCGGUGGAGAAGGAGAUGGAGAAGGGAACAGAGAGGGAGGAGAUAGAGAAGACGGAGGUGGAGAAGAAAGAGACAGAAAGGAAGGAGACUGGGAAGACGGCGGUGGAGAAGAAAGAGAUAGAAAGGAAGGAGAGAGGGAAGAAGGUGGUGGAGGAGAAAGAGACAGAAAGGAAGGAGAGAGGGAAGAAGGUGGUGGAGGAGAAAGAGACAGAAAGGAAGGAGAGAGGGAAGAAGGUGGUGGAGGAGAAAGAGACAGAAAGGAAGGAGAGAGGGAAGAAGGUGGUGGAGGAGAAAGAGACAGAAAGGAAGGAGAGAGGGAAGAAGGUGGUGGAGGAGAAAGAGACAGAAAGGAAGGAGACAGGGAAGAAGGUGGUGGAGGAGAAAGAGACAGAAAGGAAGGAGACAGGGAAGAAGGUGGUGGAGAAGAAAGAGACAGAAAGGAAGGAGACAGGGAAGAAGGUGGUGGAGAAGAAAGAGACAGAAAGGAAGGAGACAGGGAAGAAGGUGGUGGAGGAGAAAGAAAGAAAGGAAGGAGACAGGGAAGAAGGUGGUGGAGGAGAAAGAGACAGAAAGGAAGGAGACAGGGAAGAAGGUGGUGGAGGAGAAAGAGAUAGAAAGGAAGGAGACAGGGAAGAAGGUGGUGGAGGAGAAAGAAAGAAAGGAAGGAGAGAGGGAAGAAGGUGGUGGAGAAGAAAGAGACAGAAAGGAAGGAGACAGGGAAGAAGGUGGUGGAGAAGAAAGAGACAGAAAGGGAGGAGAAAGAGAAGGCAGUGGUGGCGGGACCAGUAGGAGAAGGAGUGAAGGAGUGGGGGGACAGUAAAGAGGUGAGAUCACGGGUGGAGGAGCUGAGGGAGAUGGUGGGGGGGCUGCCGGACAAUAUGAAUGAAGCGAGGGGGUGCUUGACGGACGCGGAAAGGAAUGUUCCCUGGCUGCGCCCUCCACCAAUAAAGAGACCUAAG